GCCCCCUUAGCUCAGUUGGUAGAGCGCAGCACUCGUAGUUUGCUUAUGGAGUACCCUGAAAUGCUGAGGUCAAUCGUUCGACUCGGUUAGUGGGGCA